GACAGAGGGGGCAAGCGUUGCUCGGAAUUACUGGGCGUAAAGGGCGCGUAGGCGGGAUGGCAAGUCGGUCGUGAAAUCCCUCGGCUCAACUGAGGUACGUCGAUCGAUACUGCCGUUCUUGAGGGUUGCAGAGGAGACUGGAAUUCCCGGUGUAGCGGUGAAAUGUGUAGAGAUCGGGAGGAACACCGGUGGCGAAGGCGGGUCUCUGGGACGGUACUGACGCUGAGACGCGAAAGCGUGGGGAGCGAACAGG
rnacentral:rRNA from 1 species